GCAGACACUCCCAGACUCGGUUGGGAAUCUGAGGGGCCUCGAAAGUCUUGAUUUGCGCAGGUGCUCCUCUCUGCGGACGCUUCCAGACUCUGUUGGGAACCUGACGGGUCUCCGAAGUCUUGAUCUGGGCGGUUGC
rnacentral:pre_miRNA from 1 species